rnacentral:rRNA from 1 species
UACGUAGGGACCAAGCGUUGUUCGGAUUUACUGGGCGUAAAGGGCGCGUAGGCGGCGUGGUAAGUCACUUGUGAAAUCCCUCGGCUCAACUGAGGAAUGGCACGGGAAACUGCGGGGCUUGAGUUCGGGAGAGGGAAGCGGAAUUCCGGGUGUAGCGGUGAAAUGCGUAGAUAUCCGGAGGAACACCGGUGGCGAAGGCGGCUUCCUGGACCGAUACUGACGCUGAGGCGCGAAAGCUAGGGGAGCAAACGGG